rnacentral:lncRNA from 1 species
UUCACCCCAUAAAGGGUGCAAAAAUGGCUUUCUGGUCACAAUGACGUCUUCAAAGCUUUGCUCUUCAGAACUUCAAAUUUGUCCCUUCACAUGAUGCAAUGGCUAAGCUUCAAUCUAGCUCUGAGAACACUUCUCUUCUAUAUGCCUGUAUGGCUGUAUGCCUGUGUAGUAUACGUUUAGUCACGGAUUAGGUGCUCUGUGUGUUGUAUGGCCACAGCAAACUAGGCCAUUGUGCAGUGACUACGUCAAGUCAUUUGGUUGCUUAUUGCUGUCAUCCACAUUCUGUACAUCUGUUGUGCCACAUUCUAGGAGUGGCAUUUCGGUUGCAUUGGAAACCUCAGGAGAAGCUAACUCUUUCUUCGUACUUUGCACACCUGUAGCUCGUGCAAGAUCAAUCCAUUGCUGCAAGAAACAUGGUGUCAGUAAAGCAAGACGUAGUCAAGUGCUAUAAUGCAAUGUGUUUAUGGAGUUGGAGACUAGAGAAUCCAAAUCUUUUUAUUGUAAGAUUUUGGUUUCCUUGGAGAUAUUCAACAUAAUUUAUCAAGAAAAUAAACUAUUGACUGGUAAUGAACACUGAUGGUUCCCUUUACCUCAGUUGAACCAGGACCAGACUGAGAUCAGAAAUGCUGAAGUUCAUGAAGCACAGUUGAACAGGCCAGAUAAAAGUGCCAGCACCCAGAAUGAAAAAAAUAGCAAACGGUUCCAGAGUCCAGACUAGGAAUGCUAGCAGACUGAGUUGCCUCCCAUGGAACAAUUUAGUUAGGAUAAUUUUUACUAAUAACUAUGCCUACAAAUUGAGCCGCCAAUUAAGUAGGGAGUCAAGCAGUCAACCGCCAAUUAAUUGGAACUGGAGGGCUGCCCACUUACAUACCUUAUUCUACACGUCUUUGGUCCUAUGCUAAAAACAAGAAAGAGAAUAUACACUCAUUUGCAUUUUUUUCGUUCCAAGAAAGGAGAAAACUUGUUUGUGCCAUUCAGCCAGCUUGAGAAUGCAAAUUAAAUACCAAAACAUUAUCAGCUAAAUGUAAAGUGCAGAAGUGGCAAACCUGUGUUCCCCAGUAUGAAUUAAUUAUCCUUGAAACAAAGGACAGCAGGCUAGCAAGAAGUGGCUGGUUAUAGUAGGCCAUCAGAUGCUCUCCUAGUCGAUGCUCAAUCAGACCAGCUAUGACCUGAAGCAUGUUUAUUGGAAAAGUUAAACACUCUUGUGAAAAAUGGGAUAACUGAUAAGGUACAUGUGCUUAGAAAUGGAAAUAGCAGUUUCAGACUUUCAGGAUUUAGUUGGAAAUAAUAGUUUCUGCAAUCUAAUGCAUCAAAGUUGCUGAUUACUGAUGAGGUGCAGUAGCAAGGCCUCAUUUUUAAUGUUACCAACUUCAUAUUCUCAGCAUGUUAUAUUACAACACAUUUUAACCAUUCCUUGCAUGUGCCCUGGUCUAUGCAACCAAUGACAAAAUAGCUCUUCAUAGAUAAUCAGCACUUAAGUGAACAGAGUGAUGCUCUCGGCAAACUACCUGGUAUCGCAGGUUUGCUGAUGUUCCAAGGAAGCAACUAUAAACAGUUGCUGAUUUCCAGAUCGGAGAUCUUUUGCGCCCCACUUCCAUACUUGCAGAAGGUUUCAGAAUUUGGCGAGCACCAUAUAAGACAUCUGAAGC